AUUAACUUGAAUAUUUUUAAACUUAAAUAACUGACUUCAUAUACAUUUUUGCUUGCUUUUUUCACUCACCAUUUAUACUAUAGGUUUACUGUCCAUCUUCACUUUUACUAAAUAUUAGUGAAUAGUUCUUUAAGGUGGUUAUAACAAUUUAUUCUCCUACAAGCAGUCUGUGAGUUUCUCUUGCUCUAUAUUUUCACUAAUGCUUCGUAUCAACUUUUAUAUUUCUGAUCAAUCUGAUGAGUAUAAAAUGGUCUCAUCUUGUGUUGGUUUUUGCAUUUUCCUGAUUACUAGUGAAGUUGUUUCUAUUCAUAUAUUUGUAGACUUAUUGAAAUAUUUUAUUAUCUAGGAAUUUCCUCUUCAUAUUUUUUGUCUGUUUUUCUCUUCCUGUUUAUUUUUAGGAGUUACGUAUGUAAUGUAGACAUUAAGCACUGCUUUAUUCUAUGUUUUACAAAUAUUUCUGCCCAAUUUCUGACUUGUAUUUUUCUUGCUUAUGAUAAACAGAAGUAUUUGAAUUCUUUUCCUUCCCCAAGUUUAGAAUGGUAUUCUCCACUUUUUCAUAAAACUAAAAAUUGCGCAUUUACAUUUCAGUUUUGAAAGUGGUUUCAAUUGUGCAUGUAGUAUUAGGUAAAUACCUAAGUUCAUUGUUCCCUUUAUGGAUAAGCAGUGUUUUCAACAUCAUUUAUUGACAUUCUUUGUUUACCUGAUACUCUACAGAUCAUCUCUGUUAUAUAUUGAGUUUCCACGUACUCCUGGGUCUGCUUCUAGGCUCUCUGUUCUAUUGCAUUAAUCCAUUCUUGUGCUUAUAUUCUACUAUUGUAAAUCAUGUCACUUUUAGUAUGUGUAGAUAUCUGGUUUGGCCUAUCUCCCCAAUUUAUUCUUUAUGUUCAAAUUUACUUUGCUAUUCUCUGCUUUUGCUCUUCUAUGAAGAAUUUAGAAUCAGCUGGAACUUCACAGAAAUAGUAGAUUAAUUUGUGAAUAGCUAUUAUCUUUAUAAUAAUUAUUCUAUCACAAAAUAUAGUGUAUCUUUUCAUCUGCAUAGUUUACAUUGCUAACUAUAAUGUGUUCGGCAUACAGUAUUUGUCCUUUUUGACUGGCUUAUUUCACUUAGCAUAUCUUCAAGGUUUAUCCUGUAGCAUGUGUCAGCAUUUCCUUCAUUUUGAGGGCUGAAUAAUAUUCCAUUGCAAAUAUUAAUUCUUUAAAGUUUGUUGAACUUACUUAAUUGCAUUGGUCAAUUUUGUAAUUGUUCACAUGUGUGCUUGAAAGAAUAUAUGUUUAUUGGUUGCAAAUUUCAAUAUAUCAUCAAAGAAUUGUGUUAAUUCAAAUCAUCUGUAACUUCACUCAUUUUAUUAUACAUUUGUUAUAAUCUCCUUCCAUGAUGUGGAUUUUUCAUUAUAGUUGUUCUUUAUAGUUUUGCCAAUUUAUGCUUUCUAUAUUUUGAGCCCAUGUUAUUAGUUUUAGAUUUUUUUUUUGGUUAAUUGAACUUUUGUAUCAUUUUAUAUAUACCCUUAUAUGGUCUGCGAUAUUUCCCCCCUAAAGUCUAUUUCAUCUGGUUUUACCAUGGCUGCACAAAGCUUUUACUUCUUCUUUUUUUGUUGCUGUUUUUGUUAGUAUUUUCUUAUGUCUUCAAAGAACCUUUUAAUUUAAUCUUGGUCUGCCAAAGAAUAUAGCCUUUCUAUUUUUGAAAUUCAUUUUGACUGUUUUCAUCUUUUAACUGGUAAAUUGAGUGCAUUCACAUCAACUGUGUUUAGUGAUAUGUUUUUAGCAUCUUAUUUUGUGAAUUUGUACAGCUUUUUCAGUUCUUCAUUUUUUUUUUCUCCAUUUGUUUUUAGACUGAUUUCUUCUUGGUUUUGCCUCUUUUUCAAAAAUGUUUGUCUAAUUUAAGGUCAUGCAUUCAUUUCUGUUUAUUUAAUAGCUACUUUUAAAUGAUUAACAUGCAUGUUUAGCUUUAAAAAGUCUAAAAUUAACCAGUAUUUCUGCUCCCAUCCUGAAUAAUACAAAGACUUUAGAACAUGUAAAUUCCCACUAGCCCUUGGCAUCUUACAAGAUAACCUCUAGGGAUAUUUAUGAUUCUAAUUUUCUGUAAAAGCAAGAUGUCUUAAACACUGUUGAAACACUGAACCAAAAGGAAAUUCAAUUUGCUCAAAAUGCCAAACAAGGAGGAACGUGUAUUCUUUAAAGUGGCUUUAGAAACAGAAUUUUAAUAUUUUUUCUAACAAUUUUCCCAUGAUUUUUUCAUUAAGUCGGAUCUUUUAUUAAACUCAUUCAGGUAAUUCUGAUUAUUUCAAAGAUUAAAUACUAUAAUGUAUAAUUUCUGUAUUUGCUUUUGCUGAACUUGUAUGAUGACACUGAUUGUAACACACAGUGAGUAAUAUGUCUGGAAGCAAAUGUAACAAAUGUAACAAUCCAGAACAAAGUAAAAACCCAAAAGCCAUAAAAUAUGUCCCUGAGCAGUGGCAACAAGAAAGCAAAACAAAAGCAAACAGAAGCAACAACAACAAAAAAUCACUGCUACUACAAAGAAAUAGAACCUUGAAGUCUCCUCAACCCAGGGGCUUUAUCAUUUCAUAAUCGCCAUUGUGAGCCACUCUCAGAUAAGUAUUUUACUCUAAGCAAGAACAUUGUGCUUGCCAUACAGAACCCAUAUUUACCCCCUCAUUUUCCAAGUGCCUACAUCCUACAACUUAGAAAGGCCCACGCCCUAAUGACAUUGACAUCUUGUUAGGCAUCAUUGAAGAAUUUAUAAAAUAGGUGCAUAACAGCUCCUCUGUGAAAGUAAUUUGCAGCUUUUAUCAGUGGGAGGAGACAGAUGGUUUCCAGGCAUAGUGGCCUUAGGCAGCUUUGUGUAAGAAAAAGUUGUCUGAAGUUCCUAUCAUGGCUUAGCAGAAAUGAAUCUGACUAGCACCCAUGAAGGUGCACAUUCGAUCCCUUGCCUUGCUCAGUGGGUUAAGGAUCCAGCGUUGCUGUGAGCUGUGGUGUAAGUCACAGACACAGCUCGGAUCCCCUGUUGCUGAAUUUGACCCCUAGCCUGAAAACCUCCAUGUGCUGUGGGUGUGGCCCUAAAACAAAACAAAAACCACACAAAGUUGUCUUACACAUCUCAGUAGCCUUAGAGAAUGUCUCCAAAUGAUAAUCUGACAAAGUAACCAACCAAUCACUAAGUCCCUAGUUAAAAUCACCUGAACAAAGAAAGACUAUAUGUAUAAGAAACAAGCUCAAAAUAGUACACAUAUUUAAAAGAUAUUUUAAUCAAAAAUUUUUUGGAGAGGGUGAGACCAUGUUUAUUACUCACUUAAUGGGCAUGACAUAUUUUCCAAAGGUACUGAAUAGAUGAAAGGUUAAUUUGGAUAUCCAUGUAAUUUUUAGUAGCAUUAGGUUCAAUGUUAUAAACUGACAUUUUUCUUUCUGAUAAUGCAAAAGAGAAACAUGGACUUAGGUUUUUACUUGAAGAAACAUACAUGAACAUACAUGAACAAAAUUAAAAUUGCUAAUCAAAAAAAAAUAUUUAGUGAAACACUUCAAUCAAUUUUAGCCACAGAAAUACUUCAAUUUUCCACCUCAUCAAGGAAGCUUUUUAUUAGUGAGGAGGAAUAUCCAUCUAAAAUAAAAGUGUUUUAAAUGAUUUGGUCACUAAUAUGUACCAUAAUAGUCUGUGUCUUCCUGGAUUGUCAAUUCACCCUGUACAUUAAAAGACACACUUCAUUUGUAAAGAUGUGUAAUUGUAGUUAACUCUUUUGAAAGGGAGUAAACUUUUCUUUCUUUCGUAGUCCUUUUUUUGGCAAAAGAUUCAAAAAUAUUUGACCCAUGUCUGCUCUUAGAACCAAAGAUUAUGACGCUCUCCUAAUGAAGUGUUUGAAAGGUUCAACUGUUUAUUUUAAAUAACAUUUGCCAUUUUUCUUAAUUAAAAUUUUUAUAUAGGUGAUAUGCAGAAAAUUUGGAAACCACAUAAAAGUACCAAAGAAAAAUAGUUCUCAAAUCACUCAUUUACCUCAGCUCUUGGCUCCAUCACUAAAUUAUUUCAGAGUAUUGUACUAUAGUAAUUGUUUUGUCUGGUCUCUGUUUUCUUAUAUUUUCAUUAGCCAUUCCUUGGCUCUUUAUAUAAUGAUUGCUUAUAAUAUGCUUGCUUGUUUUGUCCUUAAAGUGAGAUCUUAAGGAUGGCUUUGUUUAUUAACACCUGCUAUAUAUAUGAAACACCGCCUGGAAAAAUAGGAGUCAAUAGGCAAAGCUCAUAUCCUUAAGGAAAUUACUAAUUACAGAUAAAGUGCUUGAUUUUGGGGGGUCAACCCAUAAGAUCAGGAGUCACAAUUAAUUCACUUCCCUGUCUGUACCACCCAGCAUGGGAUCUGUUUCCAAUCUGCAUACAGAAGAAAUUGUAUGGACACUUGUAUGUGAUAAGUAAAUAACUACCAUUGAACAAGUAGUUAUUUGUCUCUUACCCAUAUUGCCAUAUUCCUAAUAGUAGAGAUUGGAUAAGUAGUAUUUUGCUUGCUUGGUUGUGAAGUUCUGUAUUGAGAUGUAACAUUUGUAUCAUGGUUAUGAGUUAUCACACUGUUACCCCAUUAUCUCAGAAGUUCCUCUGAAGCCCAAGUAAAGCAAAAAAAUACUUUAUUAG
rnacentral:lncRNA from 1 species